rnacentral:rRNA from 1 species
GAUGAACGCUGGCGGCGUGCCUAAUACACGCAAGUCGAGCGAACGGACGAGAAGCUUGCUUCUCUGAUGUUAGCGGCGGACGGGUGAGUAACACGUGGAUAACCUACCUAUAAGACUGGGAUAACUUCGGGAAACCGGAGCUAAUACCGGAUAAUAUUUUGAACCGCAUGGUUCAAAAGUGAAAGACGGUCUUGCUGUCACUUAUAGAUGGAUCCGCGCUGCAUUAGCUAGUUGGUAAGGUAACGGCUUACCAAGGCAACGAUGCAUAGCCGACCUGAGAGGGUGAUCGGCCACACUGGAACUGAGACACGGUCCAGACUCCUACGGGAGGCAGCAGUAGGGAAUCUUCCGCAAUGGGCGAAAGCCUGACGGAGCAACGCCGCGUGAGUGAUGAAGGUCUUCGGAUCGUAAAACUCUGUUACUAGGGAAGAACAUAUGUGUAAGUAACUGUGCACAUCUUGACGGUACCUAAUCAGAAAGCCACGGCUAACUACGUG